CCUGGUUGAUCCUGCCAGUAGUCAUAUGCUUGUCUCAAAGAUUAAGCCAUGCAUGUGUAAGCACACACUGUUUUAAAAGUGAAGCCGCGAAUGGCUCAUUACAACAGCCACAGUUUAUUAGAACUUACAUACAUGGAUAACUGUGGUAAUUCUAGAGCUAAUACACGCACAAAAACUUCAACUAUACAAUGGUUGAAGUGCUUUUAUUAGAACAAAAACCGAACGGCGUUCGACUUGUGUUGAACGUCGAAACUCUUUGGUGAAUCUGAAUAACUAUUUCUGAUCGCAUGGUCUAGCACCGGCGACAUCACUUUCAAGUGUCUGCCUUAUCAACCUUCGAUGGUAGUCUAUGCGACUACCAUGGUGAUAACGGGUAACGGAGAAUCAGGGUUCGACUCCGGAGAGGGAGCCUGAGAAACGGCUACCACAUCCAAGGAAGGCAGCAGGCGCGCAAAUUACCCACUCCCAGCUUGGGGAGGUAGUGACGAAAAAUAACGAGACGAUUCUCGUUUGAGAAACGUUAUCGAAAUGAGUACGCUUUACACACGCUAACGAGUAGCAAUUGGAGGGCAAGUCUGGUGCCAGCAGCCGCGGUAAUUCCAGCUCCAAUAGCGUAUAUUAAAGUUGCUGCGGUUAAAACGCUCGUAGUUGAAUUGUGGUCUUAGACAACAGUCCCCCUAUAUAGGUGUGGCACGGUUGCUCGAGAUCUUCAUUCGUGGUUGCUGUUGUUGCUCUUCAUUGAGUGUCAAUGGUGCCUCGAGAUUUUACUUUGAAAAAAUUAGAGUGUUCAAAGCAGGCCUUUGCUCGAAUAUAUUAGCAUGGAAUAAUAGAAUAGGACGUUAUGGUUCUAUUUUGUUGGUUUCUAGGACCAUCGUAAUGAUUAAUAGGGACGGUCGGGGGCAUCAGUAUUCAGUUGUCAGAGGUGAAAUUCUUGGAUUACCUGAAGACUAACUACUGCGAAAGCAUUUGCCAAGGACGUUUUCAUUAAUCAAGAACGAAAGUUAGAGGUUCGAAGGCGAUCAGAUACCGCCCUAGUUCUAACGGUAAACUAUGCCAACCAGCGAUUCGCCGAAGUUCAUUUAAGACUCGGCGAGCAGCUUCCGGGAAACCAAAGUGUUUCGGUUCCGGGGGAAGUAUGGUUGCAAAGCUGAAACUUAAAGGAAUUGACGGAAGGGCACCACCAGGAGUGGAGCCUGCGGCUUAAUUUGACCCAACACGGGAAAACUCACCCGGCCCGGACACUGAAAGGAUUGACAGAUUGACAGCUCUUUCUUGAUUCAGUGGGUAGUGGUGCAUGGCCGUUCUUAGUUGGUGGAGCGAUUUGUCUGGUUAAUUCCGAUAACGAACGAGACUCUACCCUAUUAAAUAGUGACAGUAUUGCAUAUUCUGUGCUGAUCACUUCUUAGAGGGACUGGCAAAUUGAAAGCUGCACGAAAAAGAGCAAUAACAGGUCUGUGAUGCCCUUCGAUGUCCGGGGCUGCACGCGCGCUACAAUGAAAGCGUCAACGUGAGUUACGUCCUUACCUGAAAAGGUUUGGCAAUCGAUUGAAACGUUUUCUUGAAUGGAAUAGGGAAUUGCAAUUGUUUCCCUUGAACGAGGAAUUCCCAGUAAGCGUGAGUCAUUAGCUCGCGUUGAUUACGUCCCUGCCCUUUGUACACACCGCCCGUCGCUACUACCGAUUGGAUGAUUUAGUGAGGUGUUUUGACUAGCGCCUGUAGUCGGAUGUAUAUUCGGCUUCGCGCCGGGAAAUUUCCCAAACCAAAUCAUCUAGAGGAAGUAAAAGUCGUAACAAGGUUUCCGUAGGUGAACCUGCGGAAG
rnacentral:rRNA from 1 species